rnacentral:tRNA from 5 species
GCGGGUGUAGCUCAGGGGUAGAGCACAACCUUGCCAAGGUUGGGGUCAAGGGUUCGAAUCCCUUUACCCGCUCCA